GAUGAACGCUGGCGGCGUGCCUAAUACAUGCAAGUCGAGCGAACAGACGAGGAGCUUGCUCCUCUGACGUUAGCGGCGGACGGGUGAGUAACACGUGGAUAACCUACCUAUAAGACUGGGAUAACUUCGGGAAACCGGAGCUAAUACCGGAUAAUAUAUUGAACCGCAUGGUUCAAUAGUGAAAGACGGUUUUGCUGUCACUUAUAGAUGGAUCCGCGCCGCAUUAGCUAGUUGGUAAGGUAACGGCUUACCAAGGCAACGAUGCGUAGCCGACCUGAGAGGCUGGUCGGCCACACUGGAACUGAGCCACGGUCAAUACUCCUAAGGGAGGCAGCAGUAGGGAAUCUUCCGCAAUGGGCGAAAGCCUGACGGAGCAACGCCGCGUGAGUGAUGAAGGUCUUCGGAUCGUAAAACUCUGUUAUUAGGGAAGAACAACUGUGUAAGUAACUAUGCACGUCUUGACGGUACCUAAUCAGAAAGCAACGGCUAACUACGUG
rnacentral:rRNA from 1 species